GAUCCAUCAUCCCCCAGUGCCAAGUCAGAUAUCGACAGUAAUAGAUUGGGGCUACAGGGAGAGCCUAGGCCUGCUCAGGGAAGGAAGAAGAGUUCAUAGCCAUAAAGUCUUGAAAAGGAGGAUCAAAUGCCUCGUGAUGAUCCAAUAAUGUGGCAUCUGAUCCAGUCGAGGUGUAAUUAUUGCCAACCAAUGUACCACCUCAAGCCGAGGCACCACCUCCAUGACUCAAGAGUCAACCUCUACCUCCUCAAUAGGCCCAGAAGGUAGACCCGAGCAAUUCAACCUACUCAUGCAGCAGGUCUAGAUCCUAACUGUAGCUAUUCAAGCCAUUCAGCAGGUGAAUGUGGCUUCUCAAAUGACAAUGCAACAACCGUAGCCUCAGCCACCUCCCCGAUGUUCGGUCCUAGUAGAGCCGACAUAGCCAAUCAAGGAUCCUAUAACCGGGGCACCGAAGGUGCUUCCUAACUCC
rnacentral:lncRNA from 1 species